GUUUUUUCAUUUGUUCUCACGGUUCUCACAAAUAUUUAGCGUUCUCAUUUAAACCCUCCCCUAUAUAUAUAUAGGGGAGGGUUUAAAUGAGAACGCUAAAUAU
rnacentral:snoRNA from 1 species